rnacentral:rRNA from 1 species
UCGAGGGGCAGCGGGUAGAUGAGCUUGCUCAUUUAUGCCGGCGACCGGCGCACGGGUGAGUAACACGUAUGCAACCUGUCCGUCUCAGGGGGAUAAUCGUCGGAAACGGCGUCUAAUACCCCGUAUGAAGCUGGACGGCAUCGUCUGGUUUUGAAAGAAUAUCGGAGACGGAUGGGCAUGCGGCGCAUUAGCUAGUUGGCGGGGUAACGGCCCACCAAGGCGACGAUGCGUAGGGGUUCUGAGAGGAAGGUCCCCCACACUGGUACUGAGACACGGACCAGACUCCUACGGGAGGCAGCAGUGAGGAAUAUUGGUCAAUGGGCGGGAGCCUGAACCAGCCAAGUCGCGUGAGGGAAGACGGUCCUAUGGAUUGUAAACCUCUUUAGGCGGGGAGCAAUGCCGGGCACGCGUGCCCGGAGGGAGAGUACCCGCAGAAUAAGCAUCGGCUAACUCCGUGCCAGCAGCCGCGGUAAUACGGAGGAUGCGAGCGUUAUCCGGAUUUAUUGGGUUUAAAGGGUGCGUAGGCGGAUUUUUAAGUCAGCGGUAAAAUGUCCGGGCUCAACCCGGGCCGGCCGUUGAAACUGGGGAUCUUGAGUGGGCGAGAAGUAUGCGGAAUGCGUGGUGUAGCGGUGAAAUGCAUAGAUAUCACGCAGAACUCCGAUUGCGAAGGCAGCAUACCGGCGCCCGACUGACGCUGAGGCACGAAAGCGUGGGGAUCGAACAGGAUUAGAUACCCUGGUAGUCCACGCAGUAAACGAUGAAUGCUAGUUGUCCGGUUCUUUGGGACUGGGUGA